rnacentral:rRNA from 1 species
UACAUGGGGUGCAAACGUUGCUCGGAAUCAUUGGGCGUAAAGCGCGCGUAGGCGGUUACACAAGUUGGAUGUGAAAGCCCUCGGCUUAACUGAGGAAGUGCAUCCAAAACUGUGCAGCUAGAGUACUAAAGAGGGUCGCGGAAUUCCUGGUGGAGCGGUGAAAUGCGCAGAGAUCAGGAGGAACACCCGUAGCGAAGGCGGCACUCUGGGCCGAUACUGACACUGAGGAGCGAAAGCGUGGGGAGCGAACAGG